rnacentral:rRNA from 1 species
GACGAACGCUGGCGGCGUGCUUAACACAUGCAAGUCGAACGGAAAGGCUCUGCUUUUGUGGGGUGCUCGAGUGGCGCACGGGUGAGUAACAUGUGAGUAACCUGCCCUUUACUUUGGGAUAUCUUCCGGAGACUCGGGCUAAUACCGGAUAUGUGCCCCUGCUGCAUGGUGGGGGUUGGAGAGUUUCGUCGGUUGGGGAUGGACUCGCGGCUUAUCAGCUUGUUGGUGGGGUAGUGGCUUACCAAGGCUUUGACGGGUAGCCGGCCUGAGAGGGUGACCGGCCACACUGGGACUGAGAUACGGCCCAGACUCCUACGGGAGGCAGCAGUGGGGAAUAUUGCACAAUGGGCGGAAGCCUGAUGCAGCAACGCCGCGUGAGGGAUGACGGCCUUCGGGUUGUAAACCGCUUUCGGCUGGGACGAAGCGAGAGUGACGGUAAGGGGUAAAGAAGCACCGGCUAACUACGUG